UACGGAGAGUGCAAACGUUGUUCGGAUUCACUGGGCGUAAAGGGCACGUAGGCGGCUCGGCAAAUCGGUCGUGGAAUCCCGACGCUUACCGUCGGAACGGCGGCCGAAAAUACCGGGCUAGAGGGCGUGAGGGGUCACUGGAACUCCUGGUGAAGCGGUGAAAUGCGUAGAUAUCAGGAGGAACGCCGGAGGCGAAAGCGAGUGACUGGCGCGUUCCUGACGCUGAGGUGCGAAAGCGUGGGGAGCAAACAGG
rnacentral:rRNA from 1 species